rnacentral:rRNA from 1 species
GGAUUAGAUACCCUGGUAGUCCACGCCGUAAACGAUGUCAACUAGCCGUUGGGAGCCUUGAGCUCUUAGUGGCGCAGCUAACGCAUUAAGUUGACCGCCUGGGGAGUACGGCCGCAAGGUUAAAACUCAAAUGAAUUGACGGGGGCCCGCACAAGCGGUGGAGCAUGUGGUUUAAUUCGAAGCAACGCGAAGAACCUUACCAGGCCUUGACAUCCAAUGAACUUUCUAGAGAUAGAUUGGUGCCUUCGGGAACAUUGAGACAGGUGCUGCAUGGCUGUCGUCAGCUCUGCUGC